GCCUGGGUGGCUCAGUUGGUUGGGCAGCUGACUCCAGCUCAGGUCAUGAUCUCGUGGUCUGUGGGUUCGAGCCCCGCGUCGGGCU
rnacentral:tRNA from 1 species